GAUGAACGCUGGCGGCGUGCCUAAUACAUGCAAGUCGAGCGAACAGACGAGGAGCUUGCUCCUCUGACGUUAGCGGCGGACGGGUGAGUAACACGUGGAUAACCUACCUAUAAGACUGGGAUAACUUCGGGAAACCGGAGCUAAUACCGGAUAAUAUAUUGAACCGCAUGGUUCAAUAGUGAAAGACGGUUUUGCUGUCACUUAUAAAUGGAUCCGCGCCGCAUUAGCUAGUUGGUAAGGUAACGGCUUACCAAGGCAACGAUGCGUAGCCGACCUGAGAGGGUGAUCGGCCACACUGGAACUGAGACACGGUCCAGACUCCUACGGGAGGCAGCAGUAGGGAAUCUUCCGCAAUGGGCGAAAGCCUGACGGAGCAACGCCGCGUGAGUGAUGAAGGUCUUCGGAUCGUAAAACUCUGUUACUAGGGAAGAACAAAUGUGUAAGUAACUAUGCACGUCUUGACGGUACCUAAUCAGAAAGCCACGGCUAACUACGUG
rnacentral:rRNA from 1 species